GACGAACGCUGGCGGCGUGCUUAACACAUGCAAGUCGAACGGAAAGGCCCUGCUUUUGUGGGGUGCUCGAGUGGCGAACGGGUGAGUAACACGUGAGUAACCUGCCCUUGACUUUGGGAUAACUUCAGGAAACUGGGGCUAAUACCGGAUAGGAGCUCCUGCUGCAUGGUGGGGGUUGGAUAGUUUCGGCGGUUGGGGAUGGACUCGCGGCUUAUCAGCUUGUUGGUGGGGUAGUGGCUUACCAAGGCUUUGACGGGUAGCCGGCCUGAGAGGGUGACCGGGCACAUUGAGACUGAGAUACGGACAAGGCUCAGACGGGGAGGAGGAGUUGCGGAUAGUGAGAUGUGGGAGGAAGCCUGAUGCAGAAACGCCACGUGCGGGAUUACGGCCUACGGGUUGGAAACCGCGUUCGCCUGUGACGAAGGGUGGAUGACGGUAAUGGGUAAAGGAGCACCGGCUAACUUCGUG
rnacentral:rRNA from 1 species